rnacentral:rRNA from 1 species
GACGAACGCUGGCGGCGUGCUUAACACAUGCAAGUCGAACGGAAAGGCCCCCUUGUGGGGUACUCGAGUGGCGAACGGGUGAGUAACACGUGAGUAACCUACCCUUGACUUUGGGAUAACUUCAGGAAACUGGGGCUAAUACCGGAUAGGAGCUCCUGCUGCAUGGUGGGGGUUGGAAAGUUUCGGCGGUUGGGGAUGGACUCGCGGCUUAUCAGCUUGUUGGUGGGGUAGUGGCUCACCAAGGCUUUGACGGGUAGCCGGCCUGAGAGGGUGACCGGCCACCUUGGGACUGAGAUACGGCCCAGACUCCUACGGGAGGCAGCAGUGGGGAAUAUUGCACAAUGGGCGGAAGCCUGAUGCAGCAACGCCGCGUGCGGGAUGACGGCCUUCGGGUUGUAAACCGCUUUCGCCUGUGACGAAGCGUGAGUGACGGUAAUGGGUAAAGAAGCACCGGCUAACUACGUG